rnacentral:lncRNA from 1 species
CAAAAACAAAACACACACAUGCUCCUCUCAAGAGUCACUGGCAUCCCAGCUGAAAAGUCAGCUCUACACCUGUGGGACCUAUGGGCCUGUUUCUGAGCUCUGUUCUGUCUCUUUGGUCCGAGUGUCUAUCUGAGGCCAAUACCACAGUACCAAAUGCGGUUGCUUUAGAGGAAGUCUUGAAAUCAGAUGAGGCUGAAGGCUGUUGAAUUAUGAGAAAGCGUCAUUUGAAGAGAUGGAUGCCUCUGACCCCGCCAGGCUCUGCAGACCUGAAGGUGGCUCCAGAUCUGGGGUGU